UGGGGAAUAUUGCACAAUGGGCGAAAGCCUGAUGCAGCGACGCCGCGUGGGGGAUGACGGCCUUCGGGUUGUAAACCUCUUUCAGCAAGGAAGAAGCGAAAGUGACGGUACUUGCAGAAGAAGCGCCGGCUAACUGCGUGCCAGCAGCCGCGGUAAUACGUAGGGCGCAAGCGUUGUCCGGAAUUAUUGGGCGUAAAGGGCUUGUAGGUGGCUUGUCGCGUCUGCCGUGAAAACUCGAGGCUUAACCUUGGGCGUGCGGUGGGUACGGGCAGGCUAGAGUGCGGUAGGGGAGACUGGAAUUCCUGGUGUAGCGGUGAAAUGCGCAGAUAUCAGGAGGAACACCGAUGGCGAAGGCAGGUCUCUGGGCCGUUACUGACACUGAGAAGCGAAAGCAUGGGGAGCGAACAGG
rnacentral:rRNA from 1 species